UAGGGAAUCUUCCGCAAUGGGCGAAAGCCUGACGGAGCAACGCCGCGUGAGUGAUGAAGGUCUUCGGAUCGUAAAACUCUGUUAUUAGGGAAGAACAAAUGUGUAAGUAACUAUGCACGUCUUGACGGUACCUAAUCAGAAAGCCACGGCUAACUACGUGCCAGCAGCCGCGGUAAUACGUAGGUGGCAAGCGUUAUCCGGAUUUAUUGGGCGUAAAGCGCGCGUAGGCGGUUUUUUAAGUCUGAUGUGAAAGCCCACGGCUCAACCGUGGAGGGUCAUUGGAAACUGGAAAACUUGAGUGCAGAAGAGGAAAGUGGAAUUCCAUGUGUAGCGGCGAAAUGCGCAGAGAUAUGGAGGAACACCAGUGGCGAAGGCGACUUUCUGGUCUGUACCUGACGCUGAUGUGCGAAAGCGUGGGGAUCAAACAGG
rnacentral:rRNA from 1 species